rnacentral:rRNA from 1 species
GAGGAGCCCGCGGCUGAUUAGCUAGUUGGUGAGGUAAUGGCUCACCAAGGCAACGAUCAGUAUCCGGUCUGAGAGGACGGUCGGACACACUGGAACUGAGACACGGUCCAGACUCCUACGGGAGGCAGCAGUGGGGAAUUUUUGGCAAUGGGGGCAACCCUGACCAAGCAACGCCGCGUGGGUGAUGAAGUCUCUUGGGACGUAAAACCCUUUCGACGGGGACGAAAGCCGCAAGGUUUGACGGUACCCGUAGAAGAAGCCCCGGCUAACUCCGUGCCAGCAGCCGCGGUAAUACGGGGGGGGCAAGCGUUGUUCGGAAUUACUGGGCGUAAAGGGCGCGUAGGCGGUUCGCUAAGUCGGAUGUGAAAACUCUGGGCUCAACCCAGAGCCUGCAUCCGAAACUGGCGGGCUAGAGUUCUGGAGGGGGUAGCGGAAUUCCUGGUGUAGCGGUGAAAUGCGUAGAUAUCAGGAGG